ACCGAUAGUGAACCAGUACCGUGAGGGAAAGGUGAAAAGCACCCCGGAAGGGGAGUGAAAUAGAACCUGAAACCGUGUGCUUACAAGUAGUCAGAGCCCGUUAAUGGGUGAUGGCGUGCCUUUUGUAGAAUGAACCGGCGAGUUACGAUUUGAUGCAAGGUUAAGCAGUAAAUGUGGAGCCGUAGCGAAAGCGAGUCUGAAUAGGGCGUUUAGUAUUUGGUCGUAGACCCGAAACCAGGUGAUCUACCCUUGGUCAGGUUGAAGUUCAGGUAACACUGAAUGGAGGACCGAACCGACUUACGUUGAAAAGU
rnacentral:rRNA from 1 species